CUCCAAACCUAAACCCUGUACACUUAGAAUAUUUUACAAUUUUCCCCCAAACCUAAAUCCAAACCCUUGUUUUCAUCGAUCACCACUGCACCUCCAUCGCCAUCAUCCGUCGUUGCUGUCAGCCGCAUAUGAUUCAGGCACCGGCACGGAGACGCUCUGAGACGGAGACGGAGACAGAGACGCCACCAACCACGAAGUAGCAGAAAGAUUUAUAGGCACAUCAGCUUAUCCGAAUUCUAGAUCAAUCCUAUCGAUUUUGAACAAAUGCAACCACGCAUUUAUCAAUAUGACUGAUCCUUCAUUCAUUGUUCCAUUUUAUCAUGCUUUUAAUGGCAAGAAAUGGGAAAAGUUCAACAGUGAAAAGGUGGCAUCACUUGCAUAUGUUCGCAUCCAGGGAAAAGCUGCCCUUAUUGCUCACUUCCAGAAUUCUAGCUUGAUGAAUGAAGAUAAGAUGUAGUAUGCUGAAUUGUAGUAUGCUAUUGGGCUUCAUGGCUUACUACUCUAUAACCCCAUAUCAAAAAAUAUAUAAAACAGAGCUACAAUGUGUUCCUAGUAGCUUUGACUCUGUGGAAGAGUAUGUUUUUGCAUAGGCUGCUUGUGGACUGAACAUUAAAUUAUCGAAGGAAAAGAUUGAAGAUAUUGAUGCCGGAGAUGUGUACAAUGAGUUGGCAGUUGUGGGGUAUGCAGAAAACAUUUAAAAGUUCUACAAGGAAGCUGAGGUAAACCACCUUCUGUCAUUUAUACUCUUUGAUUAAUGAAUUUUA